rnacentral:misc_RNA from 1 species
UACAGAGGCCCCAAGCGUUAUCCGGAUUCACUGGGCGUAAAGGGUGCGUAGGCGGUUAUAUUAGUCAGGUGUUAAAUCUUUGGGCUCAACCCAAAAAUCGCAUCUGAAACGGUAUAACUAGAAUUAGUCAGAGGUACAGAGAGCUCUCGGUGUAGGGGUGAAAUCCGUUGAUAUCGAGGGAAAUACCAAAUGCGAAGGCACUGUACUGGGGCUUAAUUGACGCUGAGGCACGAAAGCGUGGGUAGCGAACGGG